AGUGAACGCUGGCGGUAGGCCUAACACAUGCAAGUCGAACGGCAGCACAGUAAGAGCUUGCUCUUACGGGUGGCGAGUGGUGGACGGGUGAGGAAUACAUCGGAAUCUACUUUUUCGUGGGGGAUAACGUAGGGAACCUUACGCUAAUACCGCAUACGACCUACGGGUGAAAGCAGGGGAUCUUCGGACCUUGCGCGAUUGAAUGAGCCCAUUUCGGAUUAGCUCGUUGGCGGGGUAAAGGCCCACCAAGGCGACGAUCCGUAGCUGGUCUGAGAGGAUGAUCAGCCACACUGGAACUGAGACACGCACCAGACUACUGAGGGAGGCAGCAGUGGGGAAUAUUAGACAAUGGGCGCAAACCUGGUCCAGCCAUACCGCGUGGGUGGAGAAGGCCUUCGGGUUGUAAAGCCCUUUUGUUGGGAAAGAAAAUCAGCAGGUUAAUACCCCGCUGUUCUGACGGUACCCAAAGAAUAAGCACCGGCUAACUUCGUG
rnacentral:rRNA from 1 species